UCCAGCGCACUCACCUAUCCACUAAACAGCAACUUCAAUGUUGAAAAUUUUUAUUUGUUUUUAUAAAAAAAAAAUGAGGCACCUGUAACUAAACCCCCAUUAUUUUUGCCUAGAUUAGGUGUUUUUAUAAAAACAAAUAAAAUCUUUCAACAUUGAAGUUGCUGUUUAGUGGAUAGGUGAGUGUGCUGGA